rnacentral:rRNA from 1 species
AGAGUGAACGCUGGCGGUAGGCCUAACACAUGCAAGUCGAACGGCAGCACGGUAAGAGCUUGCUCUUAUGGGUGGCGAGUGGCGGACGGGUGAGGAAUACAUCGGAAUCUACCUUUUGGUGGGGGAUAACGUAGGGAAACUUACGCUAAUACCGCAUACGCCCUUCGGGGGAAAGCCGGGGACCAGCAAUGGCCUGGUGCUGAUAGAUGAGCCGAUGUCGGAUUAGCUAGUUGGUGGAGGUAAUGGCUCACCAAGGCGACGAUCCGUAGCUGGUCUGAGAGGAUGAUCAGCCACACUGGAACUGAGACACGGUCCAGACUCCGUACGGGAGCAGCA